GCCAUGUUCUCAGAGCCUGAACUAAGAUGCUCAUCACAGUUUUGGGAUCACAGUCUCAGUAAAAUAAAGUCAUGAUCCUGUUUGUCCAGAUAGCAGAAGUGAUAAAAGUGAAUUCACUUGAUGUAGAAACACUGAUGUCUGUUAUAGAGCUGCUUUUGGAAACACUGGCUAAUUUAAGCAACAGAGAGCUCCAGGUCUUCAAGCAAGUUCUCCCGAGUCAAAGUUAUCUCUACAAACCUUACUUAGAGAAAGUUUUGAAACUGCUCAUGAUGGCAAUGGCAAUUCUUCUUUAUUCUAAAUAUCAUGAUUUAUAAUGUAGAGACAAUAAAAAUAUCAUCUGGUGCAGUAACGGCCACUGAUAUGGGCGAAUUGGGCAAGCGCCCAGGGCGGCAUUUUGUCAUGACUCAUCGGGGGCGGCACGAGCUCUUCAAAAAAAAAUUCCUUUGCAUUCCUUUCUUCUAUUUCCACGUCAAGUCAAUCUAUCACUGUGUGUCGGGGAAAUUGGCAAAUUGGCUCACUCUCUGUUGUGCACGCGCCCCUGCUUGCUGAGAUGGUGCCGCGCGCACAGAAGCUGUGAGAGAAGGGGACGGGGCAGUUCACCUGGGUCUCCCUACUGGAACGAGCAGUGGGGAAAGGGGGAUCCACUUAAUAGAGUAAUACUCUAAUGGAAUUAGUGGACUUAAGUCAGUCACACCUCGACUUUCUUCCAAAUAAAGCACAUUUCAUUCAUAA